GCGCAUGGGGAGCAACGGAUAAGAAUAUGAACUGAAAACCAGAAGUUUAUCCGAAAAAAACAAAAACAACAAAUGAAAAAGGCUUUCCAAGUGGUAGGUUAAUGCCACAGCCUGCCUGCGCUGCCUGCGGAGUUGAGAAAGCGAUGAUUGCAAGUUAACAGCCACACAAAUAUGCCGAAUAUGCACGUCUAUGCAGGCUUUUAAGCGAAACGGUGAGCGAGUGCGAAUCAGGUUUACUAACAACGUGCUCAACUGGGCGUAUACGCAACCUUGCACUACAAAUGCAGUGCAGUGCAAAAGUACUACAGCAACCAUGGCAAGGGAAGUAGUAAAAGUAGUAGGAGUAAUCCCUGCGGAUUUACGAGCAUAAAAUCCGGUCGCUUCAUUCGUUGCUUCACAACAGAGUUUGCACUUUUGGCCUAAUUGAAAAUUUUUUCAGACAACAUCCGCACUUUGCGAAUAGCCGCAGCAACUUUACAUACUGCAUGCAUGGAAUUGUGGCAUGCGCCUGCAAAUUGGAAUAUGUUUUUUUCUAUAAAAUUUGUACAAUUUAAAUGACUCGAAAUAGUUUUCAAGCAAGAAAUACAGAAUAAACUAAUGAAACAUUGCAAACAUCAAAUUAAAGCUCAAACUCAAAUCACAA